CCUACGGGUGGCUGCAGUGGGGAAUAUUGCACAAUGGGGGAAACCCUGAUGCAGCGACGCCGCGUGAGUGAGGAAGUAUUUCGGUAUGUAAAGCUCUAUCAGCAGGGAAGAAAACGACGGUACCUGACUAAGAAGCCCCGGCUAACUACGUGCCAGCAGCCGCGGUAAUACGUAGGGGGCAAGCGUUAUCCGGAUUUACUGGGUGUAAAGGGAGCGUAGACGGCUAAUCAAGUCAGAAGUGAAAACCCAGGGCUCAACCCCUGAACUGCUUUGGAAACUGCCAUGCUAGAGUGCUGGAGAGGUAAGUGGAAUUCCUAGUGUAGCGGUGAAAUGCGUAGAGAGUAGGAGGAACACCAGUGGCGAAGGCGGCUUACUGGACAGUAACUGACGUUGAGGCUCGAAAGCGUGGGGAGCAAACAGGAUUAGAUACCCGAGUAGUC
rnacentral:rRNA from 1 species